UUUGCAGCACAUAUACGCCAUUUGAAACGUAUUCAAAGUAUGUGCAAUGUAUACAUUCUUCUGAAGCACAUUGUGUAAAAACAUGGCGUCCGUAAAAAGUUUUCGCGGUGGUGAUCUAAAUAAGCUGCAUUUGUUCAGCGAUAUUUUGUUUGAAUUGGAAGAGAAUAUUACAGCAAUAAACGAUAACCAGGACGAUAACCGACUGAUGAACUACCCACCUCACUGCCCACAGAGAUGAGAUGAGAAUAAAGACCAAAACGAGUUGCCUCAACAAGCAAUUUUUGGUUCGUCUGCUUCACCCGCUUAUUAUAAUUAUUUUUUUAUCAUACCGCAUAUUGAGGCUGUUGUAAUAUGUCUAUUAAUCUAUACAAUAAACCUUUCUUCUUUAUUUUUGAUCAUUAUUGAAUAUAACAAGGAAAACCAAA